GACGAACGCUGGCGGCGUGCUUAACACAUGCAAGUCGAACGGAAAGGCCUGCUUUCCCUUGUGGAUUGCGGGUACUCGAGUGGCUAACGGGUGAGUAACACGUGAGUGAUCUGCCCCCAACUUGGGUAUAAGCCUGGGAAACUGGGUCUAAUUCCCGAGAGGACGGCAGGGUGUUGCCCGUGGUGGGAAGCGAUCGUCUAGUGGUUGGGGAUGAGCUUGCGGCCUAUCAGCUUGUUGGUGGGGUAAUGGCCUACCAGGGCGGCGACGGGUAGCCGGGCUGGGAAGGUGGACGGCGACAGUGGGACUGAGAUACGGCCCAGACUCCGACGGGAGGCAGCAGUGGCGAAUAUAGGACAAUGGGCGGAAGCCUGAUGCAGCGACGCAGCGUGGAGGAUGACGGCCUGCGGGUUGUAAACUCCUUUCGAGCGCGAGGAAGCCACCUGGUUGGAAGGGUGGUGACGGUAGUGGUAGAAGAAGCACCGGCUAACUACGUG
rnacentral:rRNA from 1 species